rnacentral:misc_RNA from 1 species
AAUUGGGUAGGGAUCAUUGACUUCAAAGUAGAAACCACCCGGAGGAGGCUCAUAGUUUUGGGGGAAUGCACCGGCAAAUAUCUGUGCAGAUGAACCAAGACUGCUGGAACCUUGCCAGACAACUUCAAGACUCUUCUCACUUUUACGCUUAGCCCUGUCUUGGUAAUCUAUCCGGCCAAAGAAAAGAGAGUCAAAUCCAACUUCAGCUCCCAGCAAGUAAGCCUGCACUGCAGAAUGUCCAAAAGGGUCUAU